ACCAACUUUGCCUAUGCUUAGUGUAGCCCCUCUCCUUCCUCUCCCUCUUUCCCUCCCCACGCGAUUUGCAUGAAACACCUCAGACUUCAGCUCCUUCCUCCUCCAUCUGUUUCCUUUCUUUCCCAUCUUGGCACCUCGUCCCCUCAUGUCUCUCUCUCCCAACCCCAGUUGGAAGCAGCCCGCACUUUUGUGACCCUAGUGUGUCUCGAUCAAGUGUGUUGUCCAUCUAGAGAUCUAUCUGUCUGGCGAGGAGCCCCAAGUUUUGUUUUGCCUGCCGCUGAGAGAGAGAGAGAGAGAGAAAGAGAGCCCAGGAAGCCACCACAGCACCGCUUAGGAGCUGGGUGCUGACCGAGGCCAGAGCAGAGAGUGGCAGAGCUUUUGCUGGAGGUAAGUAGAGGAGGAGAAGGAGGAGGAGGAGUGGAGGGAGGCUUCAGGGAAUCUCAGCCCUAGCAAAGCCCCCACUGUAGGAAACCAGGCAGAGGACACUCUUGAUGAAAGAGACACAAACCUCCAGGUUGCUGCAUCUGUGGGCACCAGGUUAUUAUUAUUAUGAUUUGAUGCGAGAGAGGAGUGGGACUGAAAGGAUGCACUGUGAACGGUAUAGUUCCCUUGUUUUCUAAGCAAAGGGAAACCAAGAGUUCAGGAGUUUACCCAAGAUUAUAAAGGCUGUCAUUAAAUAGGUGACAUCCCUCUUCCCCUUCCCCCAAUAAUCCUAUCUCACCCCAUUUAGUAACUAUUAAUUAUUUCCAGGCCAUUGUGUUCCAAUAUCACGGCCAGGCUGAUUACGAAGUGUAUUGAUUUUAUACCAUCUUCACCUGACAGUCUUUCCUGCAGAAGAACUAAAAAAAGACCCAAAACUGCAGGCAUCACCAUGAGAGGCCCAGAUUGUGCCCAAGUGUGCAAGAAUGGUAUUUCAAUUACAUUCAGCAAAUGACCAUUGAAAAGUCUUGUUUCUGCAAAAAUUGGGUGGGUGUGGGUAAUUUUCAGCUCUCUGGAGUCAUGAGUCCAACAUUGAGCUGUUUACAGUUGCUUCUGAAUGCCACAUUCUUGCAGAAUGAGAGCCUGACUUGCUCCUUGGGUAUUAGAGUUUAUUAUUUGGUUGUGUGUGUGUGUGUGUGUCAGGAGCAACUUGAGAAACUACAAGUCGCUUCUGUGUGAGAGAAUUGGCCAUCUUCAAGGGCAUUACCUAGGGGAUGCUCUGAUUUUUUAUGUUUUCCUAUCCUGGGCUUAUCUCUUGUCCCUGCAUGGAAGCUGGAGCUAACAGACAGGAGCUCACCCCACUCCCCGGAUUUGAACAGCUGAUUUUUCAGUCAGCAGUCUUACCAGCAGAAGGGUUUAACCCAUUGCACCAUGGGGGCUCCUUUUUUUGGUGAGGGGAGCAAUAUUUGCAUAGCAUAGGCAUGCCUGAUAUAUAAUUCUCAGCCCUCCUAUCCUGAGGAACAUUAAAAACAAACAAGCAACAUGUAUUCAUUUUAUUUACAUAUUUUGUCUAUAACAGUAAUA
rnacentral:lncRNA from 11 species